GCCGAAGUGGUGGAACUGGCAGACACGCAGGAUUUAGGUUCCUGUGCCUUCGGGCGUGGGGGUUCAAGUCCCCCCUUCGGCA
rnacentral:tRNA from 1 species